GACGAACGCUGGCGGCGUGCCUAAUACAUGCAAGUAGAACGCUGAAGUGAGGAGCUUGCUCUUCUUGGAUGAGUUGCGAACGGGUGAGUAACGCGUAGGUAACCUGCCUGGUAGCGGGGGAUAACUAUUGGAAACGAUAGCUAAUACCGCAUAAAAUUGAUUAUUGCAUGAUACUUAAUUGAAAGAUGCAACUGCAUCACUACCAGAUGGACCUGCGUUGUAUUAGCUAGUUGGUGAGGUAACGGCUCACCAAGGCGACGAUACAUAGCCAACCUGAGAGGGUGAUCGGCCAACCUGGGACUGAGACACGGCCCAGACUCCUACGGGGAGCAGCAGUAGGGAAUCUUCGGCAAUAGGGCGAACCCUGACCGAGCAACGCCGGGGGAGGUAAGAAGGGUUUCGGAUCGUAAAGCUCUGUUGUAGGAGAAGAACGGGUGUGAGAGUGGAAAGUUCACACUGUGACGGUAUCUUACCAGAAAGGGACGGCUAACUACGUG
rnacentral:rRNA from 1 species